UCUUUCCUCCCCUAGAAUGCUGUUAGCUCCAUGGGCACAGGGACUCUUCUUCUGUUCCCUGAAUACAACAUCUGGAGCAGUAGCUGGUAUAUCCUUGGCAUUCAAUAAAUGGGAUGAAUACAACCUUAGGUACCUUAGGUAGAUAUUAUUCAUGCAUCCCAAUAUUUUUCUUCGCCAAAAAAGUAGCAAACGAACUACUCAUAUUUGUAGGACAUUCUAUAAUUACAAAAUCCUUCACAUAUACUUUUAUUCAAAUAUCUCAGCAAUUGGGGGGUAAGUAUCUUCAUUCUAGAAAAUAAAAAUCUGAGGCCCAGACAUUCCCUGACAUGGGUAGGGCUUCCAGCCCAGUGCCCUUCCCACUGUGCAGCAUUCUUCCCACCACAAUUGGGAGCCCUCCUCCUCCAUCUAGCCACACCCUGGCCAUCCACCAGGAGCUGCCCCUCCUCCUUUCACUUCCCAGGCACACAAGGACUUUGACGCCUGUGCUCACAUUUUCCUGCCAC
rnacentral:misc_RNA from 1 species